rnacentral:rRNA from 1 species
CCUACGGGUGGCAGCAGUGAGGAAUAUUGGUCAAUGGACGAAAGUCUGAACCAGCCAAGUCGCGUGAAGGAUGACUGCCCUGUGGGUUGUAACCUUCUUUUGUACAGGAAUAAAACGCUGCCCGUGUGCCUUUUUGCAUGUACUUUAUGAAUCAAGAUCGGCUACCUCCCGCCCAGCAGGCGCGGUCAUACGGGGGAUACCAGCGGUAUCCGGAGUUUUUGGGGUUAAGGGGGUCGUAGAUGGGUUGUUAAGGCAGUUGUGAAAGUUUGCGGCUUAACCGUAAGCUUGCAAUUGAUACUGGCAGUCUUGAGUACAGUUGAGGUAAGCGGAAUUCGUGGUGUAGCGGUGAAAUGCUUAGAUAUCACGAAGAACCCCGAUUGCGAAGGCAGCUUACCAACCUGCGACUGACAGUGAUGCUCGAAAGUGCGGGUAUCAAACAGGAUUAGAUACCCCAGUAGUC